CCUACGGGCGGCUGCAGUGAGGAAUAUUGGUCAAUGGGCGGGAGCCUGAACCAGCCAAGUCGCGUGAGGGAUGACGGCCCUAUGGGUUGUAAACCUCUUUUGUCGGGGAGCAAUGCCGUCCACGUGUGCGCGUAGGGAGAGUACCUGAAGAAAAAGCAUCGGCUAACUCCGUGCCAGCAGCCGCGGUAAUACGGAGGAUGCGAGCGUUAUCCGGAUUUAUUGGGUUUAAAGGGUGCGUAGGCGGGACCUUAAGUCAGCGGUAAAAUUUCGGGGCUCAACCCCGGCGAGCCGUUGAAACUGGGGUUCUUGAGUGGGCGAGAAGUAUGCGGAAUGCGUGGUGUAGCGGUGAAAUGCAUAGAUAUCACGCAGAACCCCGAUUGCGAAGGCAGCAUACCGGCGCUCAACUGACGCUGAGGCACGAAAGCGUGGGUAUCGAACAGGAUUAGAUACCCUGGUAGUC
rnacentral:rRNA from 1 species